AUUGAACGCUGGCGGCAGGCUUAACACAUGCAAGUCGAGCGGGGAAGGGUAGCUUGCUACCUAACCUAGCGGCGGACGGGUGAGUAAUGCUUAGGAAUCUGCCAUUUAGUGGGGGACAACAUUCCGAAAGGAAUGCUAAUACCGCAUACGUCCUACGGGAGAAAGCAGGGGAUCUUCGGACCUGGCGCUAAAUGAGGAGCCUAAGUCGGAUUAGCUAGUUGGUGGGGUAAAGGCCUACCAAGGCGACGAUCUGUAGCGGGUCUGAGAGGAUGAUCCGCCACACUGGGACUGAGACACGGCCCAGACUCCUACGGGAGGCAGCAGUGGGGAAUAUUGGACAAUGGGCGGAAGCCUGAUCCAGCCAUGCCGCGUGUGUGAAGAAGGCCUUAUGGUUGUAAAGCACUUUAAGCGAGGAGGAGGCUACUUAGAUUAAUACUCUAGGAUAGUGGACGUUACUCGCAGAAUAAGCACCGGCUAACUCUGUGCCAGCCGCCGCCGUAAGAC
rnacentral:rRNA from 1 species